rfam:Rattus norvegicus chromosome 10, whole genome shotgun sequence.
GGGGAUGUAGCUCAGUGGUAGAGCGCUUGCCUAGGAAGCGCAAGGCCCUGGGUUCAGUCCCCAGCUCCG